rnacentral:lncRNA from 1 species
AUGCCGGCCGCCGCCGUGGCCGCUGCUGGCUCGAUGGCUCCUGCUGUGGUCGCCCCGGACUCGCCAGUUGCUGCCAUGGCCGUCUCCAGCUCGCCAACUGCAGUGGCUGCCUCCAGCUCGCCAGCUGCUUCGCCGGUUGACAUCGUGGCCGCCUCUUCUUCGCCGGCUGCCGCCGUGGCCGCCUUCGGCUCGCCGGCUGUCGUGGUUGCCUCCAACUCACCGGCUGCGGGUUCACUGGCCGCCGUCGUCUCUCCGGUCUGCGCCACUUCGCCGGUUGCUGCCUGCCACCCGCCGACCGCAUCUUCCUUGCUGUCUGGCCCUUCGGGUGGCGGCCCGGCGUUCCCUGCCUCGCCGCUGUGCUCGCGACGUUCGCCGUUGUUGGCCGAUGGGAUCGCGGCCUCCUACGCCGAGCCGACUGGUCUCUUCUUCGACGAGCUCAAUGCCCUGGCCGCGGAGUUUGGUCCGGCUGUGCCUUCGCCGCCCAGGGUAUCGCCUGUGCCGCCGUCCGCCUCCGGUGCAGGCACUUCUCUGCCGAGGACUGCCUGCACACCGCCUACCGGUGGGGAGUGGCUGAGGCCUGAGUCGCCGCUUCCUCAGCAGGCUCCAACUUUGGUGGUUGAUGUGCCCGGCGGCGUCCUCUACGAUGUGCCGAUGGUUGUCCUUGACCUCGAUGGCCACCCGUUGGCGCACUCGCUUCCAUCUUCUGUGGCAGACAACGCCGCUCUUCGCGCCUUCCUCACCAGCUGCUCUAGGCCUCUCCCUCCUGCGCUCCUCCCGCCGCCUUUGCCGCUGCCGCCUCUCACCGCCAAGGCGGUGGAGGUUGUGCCGAAGCGCAGUGAGCGUAUCGCUGCUAAGAUGGCACUUGAGGCGCUUGAGUGUCGCGCGCCCCAGCGCAACCUGAUGCGGAAGCUCGGCCUAGUUCCGGAGAGGGGCCCGGUCACGGCCGAGGCGGUCGCGGCUUACAACACCCUCUUCUCCAAGCCACUUUCCCAGGAGCACAUCAUCGCGCUCUCCUCGCUCUUCUCCAGCUCCUUGCCCCCGGCCAAGGCUGCGGAGGCGUUGGUCGUGUGUGGCUGAUCGGUUUCUU